rnacentral:rRNA from 1 species
UUUCGCCAAUGGGCGAAACCUGGAGGGACCAAUACCGCGGGAGGGAGGACGCCUUAUGGGUUUUAACCUUUUUUUUUCAGGGAGGAAUAAAUGACGUGUACCUGAAGAAUAAGCAUCGGCUAACUCCGUGCCAGCAGCCGCGGUAAGACGGAGGAUGCAAGUGUUAUCCGGAAUCACUGGGCGUAAAGCGUCUGUAGGUGGUUUAAUAAGUCAACUGUUAAAUCUUGAGGCUCAACUUCAAAAUCGCAGUCGAAACUAUUAGACUAGAGUAUAGUAGAGGUAAAGGGAAUUUCCAGUGGAGCGGUGAAAUGCGUAGAUAUUGGAAAGAACACCGAUGGCGAAAGCACUUUACUGGGCUAUUACUAACACUCAGAGACGAAAGCUAGGGUAGCAAAUGGGAUUAGAUACCCCAGUAGUCCUAGCCGUAAACAAUGGAUACUAGAUGUUGAACAGAUCGACCUGUGCAGUAUCAAAGCUAACGCGUUAAGUAUCCCGCCUGAGAUUCCCACGG